CCGAGUGAGGGCCUCCGGGCCCGACCUCCAACCCUUUGUGAACACACCCGUUGCUUCGGGGGCGACCCUGCCGUUUCGACGGCGAGCGCCCCCGGAGGUCUUCCAACACUGCAUCUUUGCGUCGGAGUUAAGGAAAUGAAACA
rnacentral:misc_RNA from 1 species